rnacentral:lncRNA from 1 species
UGGAACAAGGCUGGAGAUGGCCAAAGAGACUUGAAUCGGCUAAGGUCUAUAUGAAGACUUUCGAGGUCUAGCCUCGAAUCUUCAAAGAGCAAGCGUAUAGGAGCAGGAGAGGGUGAGUAAAGAUCAUCCAUGGCUAGAUUAGCAAUGGAUUAUGGUGGAUUUGAGGUCGGAAAGGGAGGUAGGUGGAUGUUAGGUUUCAUAGGUCGAGAGGGUUCAAGAGAGACGAAGGAAACAAAG